UACGUAGGGACCAAGCGUUGUCCGGAAUCAUUGGGCGUAAAGAGCGUGUAGGCGGCCCGGUAAGUCCGCUGUGAAAGUCGGGGGCUCAACCCUCGAAUGCCGGUGGAUACUGUCGGGCUAGAGUGCGGAAGAGGCGAGUGGAAUUCCUGGUGUAGCGGUGAAAUGCGCAGAUAUCAGGAGGAACACCGAUUGCGAAGGCAGCUCGCUGGGACGUAACUGACGCUGAGACGCGAAAGCGUGGGGAGCAAACAGG
rnacentral:rRNA from 1 species